rnacentral:rRNA from 1 species
AGUGAACGCUGGCGGUAGGCCUAACACAUGCCAGUCGAACGGCAGCACAGUAAGAGCUUGCUCUUACGGGUGGCGAGUGGCGGACGGGUGAGGAAUACAUCGGAAUCUACUUUUUCGUGGGGGAUGACGUAGGGAAACUUACGCUAAUACCGCAUACGACCUACGGGUGAAAGCAGGGGAUCUUCGGACCUUGCGCGAUUGAAUGAGCCGAUGUCGGAUUAGCUAGUUGGCGGGGUAAAGGCCCACCAAGGCGACGAUCCGUAGCUGGUCUGAGAGGAUGAUCAGCCACACUGGAACUGAGACACGGUCCAGACUCCUACGGGAGGCAGCAGUGGGGAAUAUUGGACAAUGGGCGCAAGCCUGAUCCAGCCAUACCGCGUGGGUGAAGAAGGCCUUCGGGUUGUAAAGCCCUUUUGUUGGGAAAGAAAAGCAGCAGGUUAAUACCCCGCUGUUCUGACGGUACCCAAAGAAUAAGCACCGGCUAACUUCGUG